AAACUAAAUGAAACCUUUUCUUUCGUUUUAAAACUAAAACUUGAAGUAGUAGUAUAACACUUGCACUAGUGUAGGACAACAGUAGUUUAGUGUAAAUUUCUGUUAAUUAACUGCAUUUUUUUCAGUUACAGUAGGACUUCUCUUUAUCUUCUUCUCUCUUCUCUCUUUUCUCUUCUUCUCUUUCUCUUUUUGCAUCUGUAGUUUAGUGUAGGACUUGCACGUACUGCCCUUCUGGCCUCCAUUCUCUUUUCUUCUCUUCUUUGAAUGCACUCCUCUCCUCUCCUACUCCAAUAAAAAUACACUCAUACCCCACACAAAUGAUCAUACAAAUGGAGUAAAAUAUACUCAUACAAAUGGAGCGUGGAGUAAAAAUUCAAAUGGAGUGAAAUUCAAAUGAAGUACUCCACACAAAAUUAAAAGCACAAAAAAAUACUCAUACAAAUAUGGAUUAUUGCCAAAUGAAGUUACAAAUUUGAGUUACACAUCAAGCAUGAGAGCCUCAACACAAAUUCACAAGCAUCACUAGCCUCAUCGCAAGCAUCACUAACCUCAUCACAAGCAUAAAGAAUCUACUCCUUGUUCUUGAUCACUAAGAGUACUUGGAUUAAAAACAGAGUAGCUCACCCACUGUUGAACUUGCUUCGUCAAUUUUUUGCUUAUUUGUCAAUCUUUCUUUUGUUUUCACAGGUGGACAGAUGGACAAUGGUCAAUCCAACACAAUGAUCAAUCCAACACUUUGUCAGUUUCGUGCUUGCUUGCACUUCUGAUCAAAUGGAGUAACACAAUGAGAGGACCCCUAUUUCUUAAACACUUGUGAUCAAUCCAAGCAAUCAAUCAAUCCAAACAAAGGCUGCUGGUGAUAAUUCAAACACAGACUGGAAGCUCGAUUUGCGUGGUCCGCCAAUCACAAUUUGGAGGAAGCGAGAGCAGGAGAACCAGGGAGGAAGAGAGGCACGACGAGGCAGGAGCCAGGGGCGGCUGGAGGUGCGACGGAGUAUGUAUGAUCAUUGAGAAAUGAUAAAUUAACAAACAACAACUUAAUAAUAUUUAUUAAGUAUAAGC